GCUGGGUGCAAUGGCACACACCUGUAAUCCCAUCAACUCAGGAGGCUGAGACAGGAGGAUCAUGAGUUCAAAGCCAGCCUUAGCAACAGCGAGGUGCUAAGCAACUCAGUGAGACCCUGUCUCUA
rnacentral:sRNA from 1 species